UAUAGGCCUCUAAAGUCCGCUGGCACAGCUCUGAACGGACGCAAUCCUGUUUAUCGAAACGGAUCAAGCCGACCAGCUCAUCUUCCUCAAAGCGCUGUAAUGCAUCCGCCAGGCCGGAUGUGACUCCCCGGGGUAAAUCACACUGGGUAAUAUCGCCGUUGACGAUAACAGUGACAUUUUCGCCCAGGCGGGUC
rnacentral:antisense_RNA from 1 species